rnacentral:rRNA from 1 species
CCUACGGGAGGCAGCAGUGGGGGAUAUUGCACAAUGGGGGGAACCCUGAUGCAGCGACGCCGCGUGGGUGAAGAAGCGCCUCGUUGCGUAAAGCUCUGUCAGCAGGGAAGAAAAUGACGGUACCUGAAGAAGAAGCCCCGGCUAACUACGUGCCAGCAGCCGCGGUAAUACGUAGGGGGCAAGCGUUAUCCGGAUUUACUGGGUGUAAAGGGGGCGUAGACGGUGAUGCAAGCCAGGAGUGAAAGGCCGGGGCCUAACCCCGGGACUGCUGUUGGAACUGGGUAACUGGAGUGCGGGAGGGGCAGGCGGAAUUCCUGGUGUAGCGGUGAAAUGCGUAGAUAUCAGGAGGAACACCGGUGGCGAAGGCGGCCUACUGGACUGCAACUGACGUUGAGGCUCGAAAGCGUGGGGAGCAAACAGGAUUAGAUACCCCAGUAGUC